ensembl:misc_RNA Metazoa_SRP Metazoan signal recognition particle RNA
GCCGGGCGUGGUGGUGGGUGCCUGUAAUCCCAGCUACUCAGGAGGCUGAGGCAGGAGAAUUGCUUGAACCCAGGAGGCAGAGGUUGUAGUGAGCUAAGAUCGUGCCACUGCACUCCAGCCUGGAUGAUACAGUGAGACCCUGUCUCAU